rnacentral:rRNA from 1 species
CCUACGUGACGCUGCAGUGGGGAAUAUUGGACAAUGGGCGAAAGCCUGAUCCAGCCAUGCCGCGUGUGUGAAGAAGGCCUUCGGGUUGUAAAGCACUUUCAGUGGGGAAGAAAGCCUUGGGGCUAAUACCCUCGAGGAAGGACAUCACCCACAGAAGAAGCACCGGCUAACUCCGUGCCAGCAGCCGCGGUAAUACGGAGGGUGCGAGCGUUAAUCGGAAUUACUGGGCGUAAAGCGCGCGUAGGCGGUCUGAUAAGCCGGUUGUGAAAGCCCCGGGCUCAACCUGGGAACGGCAUCCGGAACUGUCAGGCUAGAGUGCAGGAGAGGAAGGUAGAAUUCCCGGUGUAGCGGUGAAAUGCGUAGAGAUCGGGAGGAAUACCAGUGGCGAAGGCGGCCUUCUGGACUGACACUGACGCUGAGGUGCGAAAGCGUGGGUAGCAAACAGGAUUAGAUACCCUUGUAGUC